rnacentral:lncRNA from 1 species
UGCCUUCCUCGGAUUCGUAUGCUUCGGUACAUCAUGAAAUGUGAUUCAAGCUUGCUAAUUAUAACCCAUCUGUCGAUCAGAGCAUUAUUGAUGUCAUAAAAGUGGACAACAUGCUUGAAUAGUGAGUUUCCAUAGUAGCAACGUGGAGUGAAAGCUGACUUUAAUUUGUUUUGAACUUAAAACUAAAAAUUACAAGUCCACUUUCCUGAACUCUGUUUGUCGCUGUUAGAGCAAGCUUAGUGGAAGAUACAAUUGCUUCCCAACAGCACGAAAUACAAGCUCUAUUCCCAACACCAAAUCAUCAAGCUCCAAGAGACCGGAGACUAGAGUUUUUCAUCUCAAGAAAUUCUGCCACAUGGUGAGUGUUAGUAACAUUUGGUUGAGCAUCUUGACUUCGUUCCGCAAGUGCAUGAUUGAAUGAUCAAACAAAGCUCUUUGCAAAGUGUUUAGAUGCACCACCACUUCGAAAAGCUAAGUGACUAUAUCACGGGUGCUCGUCA